rnacentral:rRNA from 1 species
GUGGGGAAUCUUGCGCAAUGGGCGAAAGCCUGACGCAGCCAUGCCGCGUGGAUGAUGAAGGUCUUAGGAUUGUAAAAUCCUUUCACCGGUGAAGAUAAUGACUGUAGCCGGAGAAGAAGCCCCGGCUAACUUCGUGCCAGCAGCCGCGGUAAUACGAAGAGGGCUAGCGUUGCUCGGAUUUACUGGGCGUAAAGGGCGCGUAGGCGGACAUUUAAGUCAGGGGUGAAAUCCCGGGGCUCAACCUCGGAACUGCCUUUGAUACUGGGUGUCUUGAGUAUGAGAGAGGUGUGUGGAACUCCGAGUGUAGAGGUGAAAUUCGUAGAUAUUCGGAAGAACACCAGUGGCGAAGGCGACACACUGGCUCAUUACUGACGCUGAGGCGCGAAAGCGUGGGGAGCAAACAGGAUUAGAUACCCUGGUAGUCC